AAAGCGUCCGCAGGCGGCCUUGAAAGUCUGUUGUUAAAGCGUGGAGCUCAACUCCAUUUCAGCAAUGGAAACUACAAGGCUAGAGUGUGGUAGGGGCAGAGGGAAUUCCCGGUGUAGCGGUGAAAUGCGUAGAUAUCGGGAAGAACACCAGUGGCGAAGGCGCUCUGCUGGGCCAUAACUGACGCUCAUGGACGAAAGCCAGGGGAGCGAAAGGGAUUAGAUACCCUAGU
rnacentral:rRNA from 1 species